CGUAACACGUGAGAAACCUGUCCCUGACACUGGGAUAACAGUUGGAAACGACUGCUAAUACCGGAUACCGCCGGUGAGCCGCAUGGCUCGCCGAUGAAAGUUCAGGCGGUUGGGGAGGGUCUCGCGGCCUAUCAGCUAGUUGGAGAGGUAACGGCUCACCAAGGCAUCGACGGGUAGCUGGUCUGAGAGGAUGAUCAGCCACACUGGGACUGAGACACGGCCCAG
rnacentral:rRNA from 1 species